rnacentral:rRNA from 1 species
GACGAACGCUGGCGGCGUGCUUAACACAUGCAAGUCGAACGGAAAGGCCCCUUCGGGGGUACUCGAGUGGCGAACGGGUGAGUAACACGUGAGUAACCUGCCCUUGACUUCGGGAUAACUUCAGGAAACUGGGGCUAAUACCGGAUAGGAAUCCUUGCUGCAUGGUGGGGGUUGGAAAGCUUCGGCGGUUUUGGAUGGACUCGCGGCUUAUCAGCUUGUUGGUGGGGUAGUGGCUUACCAAGGCUUUGACGGGUAGCCGGCCUGAGAGGGCGACCGGCCACAUUGGGACUGAGAUACGGCCCAGACUCCUACGGGAGGCAGCAGUGGGGAAUAUUGCACAAUGGGCGGAAGCCUGAUGCAGCAACGCCGCGUGCGGGAUGACGGUCUUCGGGUUGUAAACCGCUUUCAGCAGGGGCGAAGCUUGUGGUGACGGUACCUGCAGAAGAAGCACCGGCUAACUACGU